GUUUCUGUAGUUAAAAUUUCAUUAACAGUGGUUUUUCAGACCACAGAUCUUGGAGAAAAGCCAAGCAGAAAUU
rnacentral:tRNA from 1 species